AGAGGUCCACUUCUGAACCAAUCAGCAGGGCCCGGGGGCUGGGCCAUGUUCUGCUUACCUCACAGCUUCCACACCCACAGGGUUUUGGGAACCGGAGGCAGGCGGACAGCCCCAGGAGUCAUAAUGAGAAGAAAUGCUACCUCGGUACAGUGGACGAACGUGCAAACCACACAGAAAGUUUGAAAAAGGUCUACUGGAGGCUCUGCUUUCUGUCUCACAGUGACAGGUGUGUAAAGCAUGAGGUGACCUUGGGCAAGUUGUUCAACCUCAGUGUUAUCACCUGUAGAACGGAGAAAACAAGACUACAUACUUUGGAGGUGAGGACGCUGUAGGAAGUCAUCUGCGAAGCGGAGAGUGCACCUUUACCAGACGCGGAGUCUGCUGGCGCCUUGAUCUCGGACUUUGCAGCUUCCAGAACCGAAAGUCAAGUGAUGUGGUCAUGCUUUUAGUAAAUAAACUGGAAUUGUGGUUUUAACACUCUGCUGACCUGGGAUUGUGGUGCUGCUGCUAGAGCUACUGUCAUCCACGGGCCCAAAGAAAUCAAGGUUCAGAAGAGUGGAACCUCCACUAGCUUGAAAUUCAGUGACCGUGUUGGUAGGCAGCCACACAGAAGGUAAGCCAAGGGAGGAGGGGUUAUGUGUAAAAAGGGGUAAGACACACACUUGAACAUGCAGGUUAUAAUUAGUAAUCAUUACACAUUUUAAAAAUCAACAUUAAAACAAUGUGUACAGUAUUAGCUUUUCAUUACUAAGGACAUUUCUAAAAUAACAAUUUAAUUCAAUGUACAUUUUCUCAUGUACAAUGUAAAGAAUGUAACACUUAGUAAGGUUUUAGGAGUUCAGUUGCUUCAAUCAAAACUGGAAGCCAUACCAGAAAGACCGAAAGGAAUGCGUACCCGUUAAAGGGAAACAAUACUUUAAUCUCAACCCAACAUUAAAAAUCACUGUACAUGCCCAAAUCAAUCUUUCAUGUUAGUAAUAUUGGUUUCUAAUUAAUGCUUUUUAAAAAGUGACAAAGUUGUCAGUUUCAGGACACGCACCAAUGUGUUAACUUAGUUUAAAAUAAAAUAACAUAAUAAAGAAUGUCAUAACUACCCUACCCUGAUGUGCAACCUCAAGCUGUACUGUUCCCCUUUAACUCUGAAACAGUAAUCAGAAAUAGUAUACAUUUUUAAAGAAGUUGUUUGUUAAUAAAAAGCAUGAUGAUUUGACUGAAGACACCAGACAACAGCAAAAAGUGCAUCCAGGCUUUCCUUCAGCACUAUAUUAAUUCAAUUGGAUGCUUUCCAGAUAUCUGAUUUGACUGAAGACACCAGACAACAGCAAAAAGUGCAUCCAGGCUUUCCUUCAGCACUAUAUUAAUUCAAUUGGAUGCUUUCCAGAUAUCCUAGGACCCCACUAUAAGGCCAAGCUGAUAGUGUUUUUUUACAAUGGCAAAAUAAUUGCCAUUUAGACAAUGAUAGGUGUUUAGACAAUGGCUCGAACAACUUAAGCACAAGCAGUAAGAGCAAUUACAUCUUGGGAUCCACUUAAAACUUGUGGUGUCAAUACUAGAAACUAACAUUGGUGUGUUACUUAUUUUAAAGAGCCCACAUUACAUUACUGAAAUAAGUUAUUCCUUUUUGAGGAUUUUCUUUUAAAGCCAUAAGUGAAACCAAUUAUUUUUAGAACUGCCUACUAACAUUUGGAGACACGCUUUAGAAAAGGAUCGUGAAAUUUAUUUUCUAUUUGCAUAUAGGUGCUCUAUAAAAUAUUAAAUCUAAAAACUACUUUGAGUCAAUAAACAUGGAUCUAUGCACACUGUUUUUGGCUAAAUAAUUGUGCUUUGUGCUUUGAAGCAGCCUCUAGUCACAAGACUUUGCAUCCAAGAAAAUUCCAAAAAUUAAAACUUACAGAAAAAAAUUCAAGGUAAAUUGGUCCUAGCUAAAAUACCUUUUAAACUACCUAGAUAUUUGUAAAAAAUAAAGAAGCUUACUUUUGACUGAAACUAAAAUUUUACCUAACUACUAUUACCUAUAUUUGGACAUUAAUACUGUUGAUAAUAGUAACGGCUGGUUUCUUGAGCAAUUACUGUUCAGAAAGAAAGCCUGAAUUUCCAAAGAUAAGAAUAAGUUAUGUUCAAACAAAAAAGGAAAUCAGCAGAGAGAAGUUUGUCUGAACUUUGUAGCUUUCUUAACUCUAGCUCUGGUGCUAGAGGCUCUACGGAGAGACGUACCAUCUAAAGGGUUAGUAAGGCCACUGCUACUCCAGUCAAACUGGACGGGUGGUAGAGACUCCUAGAGUUGAAAACCAAAAAAUCAAAAUUAAUCAGUACAGGUUGUAGCAACGUAAAGAAUCCUUAAAAAAAAAAAUUAUAGCAAGACCAUUAGGCAACAAAGUACCUAAAGACAAAAUUGGGAUAAUUUACAAUUUCAGAAGGUUACCUGCAAAUAUCAGCACAAACUGAAAUUGCAAAAUUUACAAACAGUACAGGUUAUUGACAUUUAAAAAGUUGUAUCUGGGAAAUGAAAUUAUCUUUACAUUUUUAAACAAAUUUAUGAACUGAUUCUAUGUCAAGAUUUCAAUCUAUUCUCAAAUCAUGAUUUCAACUAUUGAUGUGAUUACAAUAAAAAUUAAAACAUGGUAUAAAACAAGAAGAUUCAAAGUCUAAGGUCUGUCUGGUUCCUUACAAUUUUCCAGAUUUUGAAAAUUAUGGGCUAAUAAGACAUUUUUAAAGUGUUGACUUAAAAUAUCUAUUUUAAUCAACUUCUUUCAUUUAGAAAUUACUUAUUAGAUACCAGAAUUUAAUUGUGGGUGUCAUCCUUGUACUGGGGCAAUGCUAAUCUCCUCUGACCUUGCCAAAUUUUAUAAUGUGCUGCUGAAGCGAGCAUAGAAUUUUAAAAACAAUACACUCAAGGGAUGCUCAGGCAGGGCACGGUGGCUCACGCCUGUAAUCCCAGCACUUUGGGAUCCGAGGUGGGCAGAUCACGAGGUCAGGAGAUCGAGACCAUCCUGGCUAACACAGUGAAACCCUGUCUCUACUAAAAAUAAAAAAAAAUUAGCCAGGCAUGGUGGCACACGCCUGUAAUCCCAGCUACUUGGGAGGCUGAGGCAGGAGAAUUGCUUGAACCCGGGAGGUGGAGGUUGCAGUGAGCCGAGAUCGUGCCACUACUGCACUCUAGCCUGGGCGACAGAGUGAGACUGUUUAAAAAAAAAAAAAAAAAUUCACUAUUCCAGGGGUUUAAAUUUCGUAACUGUCAAACAUAUAAAAUAAGCAAAUGGUAAAUUUAAGAUGGAAGGCAGUGCAAACACAUUUUUAAAAUAAGCAUUCACACUUCAUUUUAAGAAUAUUCUUACAUGAAAAAAUGUUGGUUGUUUUUUUCUUUUCUUUUGGGGAUGGUGUUAAAAUAACCUGUAUUUUAUUAGACUUUUGAUAUCAAAAUGUUAUCGUCUUUUUUUGGACAUCGCUUACCACUACGCUUUAUUGUAAGGCAGGCACUGUUAAAACUUUAUAUUUUUUUCUGCGUAGGUAGGUAAGAUCACUUGCUGUUUUUUAUAGAAAAGGAGCAUGAAUCAGUUAUUUUUGUAAAGUCUAACUCCAUGAUAUUAUAAUACGACUGUCUGGAUAACUGGGAUACCAAUGACAGGCAAAUUAAUUUAAGUAUUUAGUCUCCAAAAAUCAGGUCCAGCCUGGAGCAAGGUAUAAACCAAGUAAAAUACUAACAUUAGUUAGUGGGUGUAAGGGAUGGGAUAGGGAUGGUUGUGGGGCAGUGACUAUUAAGGGUGUUCUUAAUGGUGGUGGUGGAAGAGUUUUGUAUCUUGACUGGUGGUGGUGGUUACAGGAAUCUACCUAUGUGAUAUAAUGAUAUAGAACUAUAUACACAUAUUGUACCAAUGUCAUGUUCCUGGUUUUCACAUUAUAGCAUAUUAUGUAAGAUGUAACCAUGGAGGAAACUGGUGAAGGGUACAAGGGACUUCUCUGUACUACAGUUGCAACUUCCUAUGAAUCUAUAAUUAUUUCAGAUAAAAGUUAAAAAACUGCUGAAAACCUAGUUUAUAACCUACCUGCACAGCUAAUAAAUAUUUAGAAAUAUCUUCUUUAGCUGAUCAUAAAAGGAAACAAACAUCUCUAAGCAUUCUAGCAGAUUCAACUUACUCCACUUCUAGAUCAGUGACACCUUUGGGCAUAUUCAACACUGAAUGAAUGGACAAAAUCUAGGUUUAUACAAUAACGAUUUCUGAAUAAAUGGAGCAAGUUCUUUCAUGAACACAUUCUAUCUGAAUGAUGUCAAGUAGCUGGGUGCUUAGAAAUAUUUCAAUGAUUUAAUGAUUUGCUGAAAUCUGAGCUGCUCAAACAGGGGUAUGGUAUUUUGAAGACAGCCAAAAUCAUAAUGAGGUGAUAAACACGAAUCGACAUUUAACGGAAAUGAAAAAGGUGAAAAACAGGAUACCGAAGCAAAAAAAGACUAAAACUAAUGAUGUUCACAAGUAUACAAGUAUGGAAACUCAGAGAAAGCUUGAGAAUGAAGCAUUUUAAAACCACUUGAAGCAAUGUGGUAUGAAUUAUUACUGCAGAGAUAAAAGCACUAGGCAAAUAAGGUCACAAUAAAAAAGAACAAAAACAUGGAGACAGGAGGCUUGGAUUCCAGUCCUAGCAGUACCACUAAUACAUGGUUUUGGGUAAAUCACUUAGCCUUUCCAAUGCUGUAAAAAGUGAGCAUGGUGGCCAGGCGCGGUGGCUCACACCUGUAAUCCCAACACUUUGGGAGGCCAAGGUGGGUGGAUCACUUGAGGUCAGGAGUUUGAGACCAGCCUGGCCAACAUGGUGAAACCCCGUCUCUACUAAAAAUAUAAAAAUUAGCCAGGUGUGGUGGCAGGUGCCUGCAAUCCCAGCUACUCAGGAGGCUGAGGUAGGAGAAUCGCUUGAACCCAGGAGACAGAGGUUGCAGUGACCUGAGACUGCGCCAUUGCACUCUAGCCUGGGCAACAGAGCAAAACUCUUGUUUCAAAAACAACAAAAAAAAAGUGAGCAUGGAACUACAUAAUCAUUUUUUCUUUUCUAGCUCUAAAAUUCUGAUUCACAACUAAAAUACAUCAGGCAGUCUAAGAGAAGUUGCUACCGGUGACUAGAUGGAUAACUGCCAGUCAGAGUGUUGACCCUACUCAGCAAUGAAUAAAGUGUAAAGUAUUGACCUUACUAAGAGGGAAAUCAGUAGUGGCACAAUGGUGUGACCUUGAAAUUCAGCAGAUAAAAAUGAAAACACACACACAAUCCCAAAAAAGGAAAAAAAUGUUUACCACAGGAAGAAAGAAAUGACCCUAAAACACAUCCAACCACUUGGGCAAUGUUACACAUAACUGCCAGGUGUCAAGACACCAGUAAAAUUCUCAAAUGAGUGGAAUGAAGCUGAGGCAAAAAAGGAUGUUGGGCAUAUUUAAAUAAUUACAAGACAUAAAAUAGCCAAAUCUUGUCUCCCAUAUACCAUAUUAUGCUUGACGCUCUACAUGUAUUACUCCAUGAAUCUUCUAAAAGAAACUCCAGAAGUAUUACUGUCUUCAUAUUACAGAUGAAGAAACUAUAGUUCAGGAAGAUUCAGGUAAGUACCAUAGCCUUACUGGUGGUAUAGUACACAGCAGAUAUUUGAUCCAAAGUCUGACUCCAAAGCCUACAUUCUUUUCACUAAAUCAUGUUUUUCCCCACAUUUUGUGGUCUUUCAAACAUUUCUAGCCAUAAUUAGAUAAGGGAUUUACCUGUUAAAUGGUGCGGUGAUAACUAUGCUUAAAGCAAAUGAUUUCAUCUAACACUACAAUUCAUUGUUUUCAACAAAGUUAGUUGUUAAUUCUUACUAAAGAGUCAGUGCUGCAUUCUGAAUAUGAAGGUAACAAAUAAAUGCACACUUAGCAUACUAAAUAUUUAGCUGAUGUUACAAUACUAAACGUCAAAUCAAAAUAAUAGUUACAGCAAUUACUUGAUUUUUUUUUUCUUUUUAAGAGAUGGUCUCACUCGCUCAUUCAGGCUUCAGCGCAGUGGUGCCAUCACAGCUCACUGCAGCCUUGAACUUCUGGGCUCGAGUGAUCCUGUCACAACCUCCUGGGUAGCUAGGACCACAGGUGAACACCACCAGGCCUGGCUAAUUUUUAUUUUUUAUUUUUUGUAGAGAUGGCGUCUCACUAUGUUGCCAAGGCUGGUCUUGAACUCCUCCUUUCAAGCAAUCCUCCUGCCUUGGCCUCCCAAAGCACUAGGAUUUCACAUGUGGGCCACCACACCCAGCCCCAAUUACUUGAAUUUUAAAUGCCAUCAUCUUCAAAGUAUAAAGAGGAAAAACAGUCCUUGGUUUUCCCUUGAAUAUGGAAUAAACUGAUGACUGGCUAGCUGAAUACCAGUUUAUGUGACUCAGUCACACCUUUUCAUUCACAGAAGUACCAACUUCUAAGCCUGGCAAACAGCACAUCUGGCUAUUAAACAUUUUAAAAACUGGGGCUCUGAUAAAUGUAGGAUUAAAAAUCAAAUGCUAUUCAAGGCAGGUACCAUACCCUCCUUUUUCAUUUUCUCUAUUAAUGUCCAAUGCUAUGAAGCCAAGUAGAGGAGCUAUGCUACUUACACAGAAGUAUACUUGUGCUUAGACUAGUUCAUACCUAUCAAAAACCAUUCUGAAUGGAAACUAGCCCAAAGCAGGAGCUUUCGCUCUCAGAAUAGCCUGACAGGUUGAGUAUACUAACAAGAGCCAGAACUAGGGGGUACUCCCACACAAAUUCUGAUUUGCCUCCCUAUUACUUUCUUUUUUUUCCUCCCCCAAGAUGGAGUUUCGCUCUGUCACUCAGGAUGGAGUGCAGUGGUACGAUCUCGGGUCACUGCAACCUUCGUCUCCUGGGUUCAAGUGAUUCUCCUGCCUCAGCCUCCCGAAUAGCUCAAAUUACAGCCGCACACCACCAUGCCUAGCUAACUUUUGUAGUUUUAGUAGAGAUGGGGUUUCACCAUGUUGGCCAGGCUGGUCUCAAACUCCUGACCUCAAGUGAUCCAUCCGCCUUGGCCUCCCAAAGUGCUGGGAUUACAGGCAUGAGCCACCAUGCCCGGCCCCUCCCUAUUACUUCCUGUUAACCAAAAAACACAUUUUAUGGAGAAAGGGCUCAGGAAAGUCGUAUGCAUCCUUGGCUACACCACAUCUUCAAAGGUACAUUUGCUUUUUUAGCUUUUCCCUCUUUCCCAAUUUUCUCAUUUCUUGUAUAUUCAUUUUCCUAUCAGGGUCCUUCAUUACCUUGAAUGUCUUUAUAAUUAUUAUUAUUUUUUAAACCAGAUUUGGUUUCUGGAAAAGCAAAAAAUGAUUACCCAAUGGUUUAAUUCAUCAGUGGGGCAAAGCUUCAUGUAUGAAUUGACAACUUUUACUCAUUCCUAGUUCUGUCAUGUCUUUAUGUCUCGGGGUAGUGGAAGAAAGUCCCAGGGUAUAUAAGCAGCCAUUUCACUUUAUCCACUGGUGCAAGUAAGCCAUUUAAUCUAAUGCAGAGCUUCUCGACUGGCACGUUUUAGUCACAAACAGGUUCCAGUCUUCCAUAAAUCCUGAAAGCUAUAUAUGGAUGUAAGGUGUUCCCUCUUGUGAUGGUUAAAUUUAUGUGUCAACUUGACUGGGCCAUGGGGUGCCCAGACAUUUGGUCAAACAUUAUUCUGGGGCGGAGCAUGGUGGCUCAUGCCUAUAAUCCCAGCACUCUAGGAGGCAGAGGCAGGCAGAUUGCUUGAGCCCAGGAGUUGGAGACCAUCUGGGCAACAUGGCAAAAUCCCAUUUCUAUAAAAAAUACAAAAAUUAGCCAGGUGUGGUCGCACACACCUGUAGUCUCAGCUACUAGAGAGGCUGAGGUGGGAGGACUGCUUGAAACCAAGAGGUGAAGGCUGCAGUGAGCAGAGACCAUGCCACUACACUCCAGGCUGGGCAACGGAAUGGGACCCUGUCUCAAAAACAAACCAAAGAACGCGAAAACAUGUUAUUCUGGGAGUACCUGUGAGGGUGUUUCUAGAUGAGAUUAAGAUUUGAAUUGGUAAUCUGACUAAAGCAGAUUGCCCUCCCUAAUGUGGGUAGGCCUCAUCCAAUCAGCUGAAGACCUGAAUAGAACAAAAAUGCUAAGGAACUUCUGCCUGAUUUUGAGUUGGUACUUCAGUUGGACUUGAGCUAAAAAAUCAGCUCUUCUUAGAUCUUAAGCCUGCUGGCUCCUGGGCUGGAACUUACACCACUGCUCUCCUGGUUCUUAGGGCUUUGGACUCAGACUGGAACUACACCAUCAGCUCUUGGGUCUCCAGCUUAUGCACUGUGGCUUUUGGAACUUCUCAAUUUCCAAUAAUCAAUCUCUCUCUCUCUACUACCUCCACUUCUACUUCCCCUCCCCAUCCUUCCCUCCCUAACCUCCACACAUACCCUAUUGGUUCUGUUUAUCUGGAGAACUCUAAUACACCUCUAUUUUAUAAAUGACUACAUCUGGGCAUAAAGAGAUUAAGUGUAUUGCAAGUCUCAUUUAGCUUUCCAGAGAGGUGUACACAGGACCCCAGACUCUGGUUCUUAUGCCAUUCAAAUGCCUAUCUCCUUUAAAGGACAGCAGGUCCUUGAAUAAUGUCAUUUUGUUGUAAUGUUGAUGAGAAAAACAACUGAUUCCUGGCUGCAGCCACUACCUGUGUGGAGUUUGCACAUUUUCCGUAUGUCCACCUGGGUUUUUUUUCUGGGUAUGCCAGUUUCCUUAUAGAUCCUAAAGAUGUGUACAUUAGAUUGUCUAAAUUGUUCCAGUCUGAGUAAGUGCUGGUAUGUGUGUGUGAGUGUGCCCUGCAAUGGAAUGGCAUUCAGGCCAGGAAUAGUUUCAGCCUUGUACCCUGAGCUGGAGGGAUAGGCUUCGGCCACUGAUGACCCUGAGCUGGAAUAAGUAGAUUGCAAAAAGAAUAAAUUACAAAGUAAACAUUCGUGAAGUCUACAAUAAUCAUACAAAUGCACAGCAAUAAAUUAUGCAGUAUGAAAGUGCCCAGUGAGCCUGCCAGAUUUGUGAUUGUUUUUGAAUUGUAUGGUGGUAGGAGGUGCUCCUUAGAUCAUUUUUGCUUUGCAAACGUUUAUCCCUUGAUUUUACCCAGCACCACUAUGAGUGAUGUCACUCACUGAUUCACCAAAAACUGGGUAAGUAAUUAUGUUUCUUGUUCUUUGUAAUCUUUCUUAAAUGUGAGCAUAGCUCACAUUUAUUUCAAUGUUUAAUAUUAGAAGUGCUUUGUGUCUUUAUUUAGAGGUUCAGUGAUGUUUCUGUGACCAGAAAGAUGCCAUAGAAACUUAACUCUUGUUUAUAUCAGUUAGCCUAUGGUAAAAUUGGUUUUGUUAUAUGUCCUUUCACUUAAAGUUGCAGUUUCCAAGACCCUAUCAAGGAUAUUAAGUAAUGACUUAAGUAUUUUAUAUUUAAGGUAACUCUUGAUAUUCCUUCAACUUAUUUCCAGUUAGUUUUCCUUUCUUGCUUAGGGACAGGAGUUGAUUAAUAUCAAUAGUUUUAAUAUUGAUAACAUUAGGUUUCACACUCAAGUAGAAGUUUAGAAGAAACAUUAAAAUCCACUGGGUAAUUUAAUCUUCCAUUUAAGAGGAUAUCUUAUGCUGCAGCACCAUUAAAUAUUAAGUAAGCUAUCAAGUACAAUCUACAACUGUAUACUUACCAAUCCCCAAUUUCAAGCUGUAUAAAGAGUGACCAGCUGUAAUAUUCACCAGAUCUAAACAUGAUUUUUCCCUUCUGUACAGUUUCUGAAUAAAUCUAAUAAAGCAUUUCUAUUUUGAAAUUAAACACCAGAUAGUCAAAUUUUCUGAGGAAAAAAUAGCAAAAGGAAAUUCUAUCGAAAUAGUUAAAUAAGGAAAGAUCUAUAAGGAAAGCUAAAGUCUUACAUCUUAAUUCUCUUAUUUUGUUGCUUACUUCUGUUUUCAGUUGUAUGUUCCAGUGUUCACAGGAUGGAAAACCUGCAUAAAUAUUAGCUAGAUGACUAAAUAAGUGAAGAUGAAAAGGUAGGACUGGUUAUAUUCAGUUUAAGAACACUGAGUUUCUAUGCCUGUAAUCACAGCUACUUGGGAGGCUGAGGCACGAGACUCGCUUGAACUCAGGAGGCAUAGGCUGCAGUGAGCCGAGAUUGCACCUGCACUCCAGCCUGGGCGACAGAGCAAGAUUCCGUCUCAAAAACAAAACAAACCAGUAACUUAAUCUUGAACUAACACAAGCCAAGGUGCAAUUACUUUACACAGCUAUAGUGCACUGGAAAAAAAAAAAGUUCUCUUAGACUACAUGUUACCAAGAGCACUGGUAGUACAUUAAUGAAAUGUGGGGAUUCCAGAUAAUUCUGAAUAUACACUUACAAAAGUACAGCUACAAAAUUCUCUCCUGGGGACUUUAAUACUUCAUGAAAAUUUUCCCACAGAAGAUUUUGCAAUCAGCUGACAUGAACAGCAGACAUGCUUUAAAGUAAGUUUCUUGCUGUAAAGUUUUAAAUUAGCAUUUUGGUCAAGACUAAGUUAAACCUCAAGUGACUAGUGUAUACUGAGAAAAAAAAUCCCCAGAAAAACAAAGUAACAAACUACUGUGUGGACUUUCAAAAUGAAAAAAUACCACUCUAGUCUGUAACCUAAAAACGUAACUGUGGCAGCUGCCAUUCCUCUGACAGUGCUGCUUUCUACAUCACAAACACCCACCAUGAGAGCAACUCACCUCUUACAGAAAGAAGCAUUUACUAAAGGUUAUAAAACUGCAACCAAGUGCAGUUAGAGUUCAAUUAUCUGAGCCACUAAGAAAGUAAGCAACGAUGUCCUACAUAAUCUACAACUCACAAAUUUGGCCUUAAAAUAUGACC